rnacentral:misc_RNA from 1 species
UGUAGGAGUCGGCUUGCUGGCGAUAGCGGGGGAUCAGUCAAUAUCGAUGUUGGCUGAUACCGCUAUCGCCAGCAAGCCGGCUCCUGCA